GUGGGGACUUAGGAAGCACAUAUACUAAAAUUGUAACAACACAGAGAAGAUUAUUAGCAUGGCCCCUGCACUAGAACCUGCAAAUUCAUGAAGCAUUCCAAAGUUAU
rnacentral:snRNA from 1 species